rnacentral:rRNA from 1 species
CCUACGGGAGGCAGCAGUCGAGAAUCAUUCACAAUGGGGGAAACCCUGAUGGUGCGACGCCGCGUGGGGGAAUGAAGGUCUUCGGAUUGUAAACCCCUGUCAUGUGGGAGCAAAUUAAAAAGAUAGUACCACAAGAGAAAGAGACGGCUAACUCUGUACCAGCAGCCGAGGUAAUACAGAGGUCUCAAGCGUUGUUUGGAAGCACUGGGCGUAAAGCGUGCGUAGGCUGUUUCAUAAGUCGUGUGUGAAAGGCGCGGGCUCAACCCGCGGACGGAACAUGAUACUGCGAGACUAGAGUAAUGGAGGGGGAACCGGAAUUCUUGGUGUAGCAGUGAAAUGCGUAGAUAUCGAGAGGAACACUCGUGGCGAAGGCGGGUUCCUGGACAUUAACUGACGCUGAGGCACGAAGGCCAGGGGAGCGAAAGGGAUUAGAUACCCUUGUAGUC